CGACUAUGUAAUAGACUAAGCACGUUUAAGCAGAAGUAGAGACGUUUUCUUUACUGGGAUUACUCAUAAGUGCUGCUGUUACACGAAAUAAUUCUGUUUAUUUAACUGGGCGAUAUACAUUCUGUUCUGGGAUUCCUCCGGCUGGCUUUUUUAAACGGCUGACAUCUGAAUGAGCCAGUGGAGGUCCAGAAGCAGGAGGGUCCCGCCGCCAUCUUUGUGACUCGGACUGAAGCCUGGGAGGACGCAGAGGAGCUGGUGCUGCUGGAGCUGGAUGUGUUGGUUGGACAACAGUAAGCUUAUUGAACAAAAAGGGGGCCCCCAGUUUAACUCUUUUUUUCUUUCCACAUAUUAGUCAUUCAUAAACACUUUUUUUAAAAACUGACAACUUAUGUGCACAUUGACUGAGCUGACUGACUGAACUAUUAUAUUGAAGGACUAACUGGAAUUUAAUCCUUGGAAAACAAAUGUUGAAGUGAGCUUUAUUGCUACAGUUUAGAAAACUACCCUGAUUUUUGAACGUUUCUUUAGGGGUGGAUAAUUUAUUUAUUUUUUUUAUUUGUUGGUAAUUGGUGUUACCUGGAGUAUUACUUUUGUUGGUGGGGGAAGGGGGGAUAAACGUGAGUUGUUAAAACUU